CCUACGGGAGGCAGCAGUGAGGAAUUUUCCGCAAUGGGCGAAAGCCUGACGGAGCAAUACCGCGUGAGGGAUGAAGGAUUUUGGUCUGUAAACCUCUUUUCUCAAGAAAGAAGUUCUGACGGUACUUGAGGAAUAAGCAUCGGCUAACUCCGUGCCAGCAGCCGCGGUAAUACGGGGGAUGCAAGCGUUAUCCGGAAUGAUUGGGCGUAAAGCGCCUGUAGGUUGUUUAUUAAGUCCGUUGUUAAAGCCUAGGGCUCAACCCUAGAAAAGCAAUGGAAACUAGUAGACUAGAGUAUGGCAGGGGUAGAGGGAAUUUCUAGUGUAGCGGUGAAAUGCGUAGAUAUUAGAAAGAACACCGGUGGCGAAAGCGCUCUACUGGACCAUUACUGACACUCAGAGGCGAAAGCUAGGGUAGCAAAAGGGAUUAGAUACCCCUGUAGUCCUAGCCGUAAACGAUGGAUACUAGAUGUUGUGUCAUUAUAGUACUAGUAUACGUAGUACGUAACGUACGUUAAGUUACGUCCGUCCGUCGGGUAGGUACGUCGUCGCGAGGGUAGGUAACGUACAAUAGUAAGUUAACGGUACGUGAGACGUCGCCGACGGACGACGACGAGGGAGGUAGG
rnacentral:rRNA from 1 species